GGCACUUCAAACACAAAAAUAUUUAAAACUUAUAAAAAAAAACAAUACUCAAACAACAUGAUCAAAACAUCAAGUUGUAUAUUUACUUUCUUUCUUCUAAUAUGUUUCUUCGUAGUGGUGGCUUUUGGUGGUACUUUCGACCAAGAAUUUGAUGUUACAUGGGGUUAUGGGAGGGUGAAAAUACUCGAAAACGGGCAACUUCUUACUCUUUCCCUCGAUAGAAGUUCUGGCUCUGGAUUUAAGUCUAAACAACAAUAUAUGUUUGCAAAGAUUGACAUGAAGAUCAAACUUGUCCCUGGUAAUUCUGCUGGCACCGCUACUACAUACUAUUUAUCUUCGGUGGGGUCAGCUCAUGAUGAGAUUGACUUUGAGUUUCUUGGGAAUGUAAGUGGAGAACCAUAUACUCUUCAUACAAAUGUGUAUGCACAAGGCAAGGGAGAUAGAGAGCAACAAUUUCAUCUUUGGUUUGACCCUACUAAGGAUUUCCACACCUACUCUAUUCUUUGGAAUCCUCGAAAUAUCAUAUUUUUGGUAGAUGGGACACCAAUAAGACAAUACAAGAAUCUUGAAGCAACAAAUGGAAUACCUUACCCAAAGAACCAACCAAUGUGGUUAUACUCAAGUUUAUGGAAUGCUGAGGAAUGGGCAACAAGAGGUGGCCUUGUAAGGACUGAUUGGAGUAAAGCCCCUUUUAUUGCUUCUUAUAGAAACUUCAAUGCCCAAACUUCCAAGAAUCCCACAGCCAAUUCUUGGUUAACUCAAUCAUUGGACAAUGUUGGGUUAACAAGGAUGAAAUGGGUGCAAAAGAACUAUAUGAUAUACAAUUAUUGCACUGAUACUAAACGUUUCCCUCAAGGGUUCCCUCAUGAAUGCACUCUAAAUUAAUAAGUUAUUGUGUUAAAAUAUCCUCUAUAUUUAUUUUUUCUUGCUAAAUUGGAGUGAUACGGUAAGAGUUGUUGUUGUGUGAAUAAAGAUAUUAUUAUAGUUUCCAGUGGUGAAAGUCGAAACAACUUCUCGCAGAAAUGGAUAUGAUAAAGAUGAGUGUGUAUCAAAAGCUUAAUGUAUUAAACUGUUAUUUUUAAAAAAGUUCGUUCUUUAUACUAUAAAGAAAUGUAUAUUAGCCCACUUGAGAGUGAUAUUGUUU
rnacentral:misc_RNA from 1 species